rnacentral:ncRNA from 1 species
GUUUCAGGGCGGGGUGUAAUUCCCCACCGGCGGUAAGCAGUGUUCCUGCAAGCCCGCGACCGGCUGCCUGGCAGCCGCUGACCCGGUGUGAUUCCGGGGCCGACGGUAUAGUCCGGAUGAAAGAAA